CCAGGCUCGAAAUGUAACGGCUAGUACCAGAGAUGGUAUGUUCCGCAAGGACUGUUAUAUAGGUGCUGCAUGGCUGUCGUCAGCUCGUGCCGUGAGGUGUUUGGUUAAGUCCAGCAACGAGCGCAACCCUUAUCAUUAGUUGCCAACAUUUAAGGUGGGGACUCUAAUGAGACUGCCUGGGUUAACCAGGAGGAAGGUGAGGAUGACGUCAAGUCCGCAUGGCCUUUAUGUCUGGGGCUACACACGUGCUACAAUGGUCGGUACAGAAGGCAGCAAGACCGCAAGGUGGAGCAAAUCCGAAAAGCCGAUCCCAGUUCAGAUUGUAGUCUGCAACUCGACUACAUGAAGUUGGAAUUGCUAGUAAUGACGUGUCAGCUACAACGUCGUGAAUACGUUCCC
rnacentral:rRNA from 1 species